rnacentral:rRNA from 1 species
GUGCUAAGGUAGCAUAAUCACUUGUCUUUUAAUUAAAGGCUAGAAUGAACGGUUGGACGAAGUAUUUACUUUCUUUAGUUUAGUUUAUGAAUUUAAUUUUUUAGUUAAAAAGCUAAAAUGUUUUUGUGGGACGAGAAGACCCUAUAGAUCUUUAUAUUUAUUUAUUUUAUGAUGAUUUGGUAUUAAUUAUUUAUUUUAAUAAUAAUUUUUUAUUUGAUUGGGGUGAUUGUAGAAUUUUAAUUAACUUCUAUUUUUUAUAUUCAUUAAUUAAUGUUUUUUUGAUCCUUUAUUAUUGAUUAUAAGAUUAAGUUACCUUAGGGAU